GAACGUGACUACGCGGGAUCGAACCGGCAACGAUAACGCGUUUCCCCAACGAUUCUUAGCGUCGCGUCGCGUCGCGGCGGGCUCGUACCGCGGUCACAGCCGACCUUCCGGUUUUCUUUAGGCCGCGGUUUGGGGAGCCAAAGUUGCGGGUGUAACGAGUGUAAAAAGUUUCUCAUGUUUCGGUUUUGUCCAUCACCGUUUGCGUUAACUGCAUAUAACACUGCGGCCUUGAUAUGUAAUGAUGUUAACAUGUUGCCACGGUAACCGAUAAUUCGGAAUUGUCUGGACAUGAUUAUAUGAUUGAUGAAUACGUUUGGAGACUUGAUUGAUAGAUGUUCACCUUUGAUACGAAAGGAUCGGUGAUGCAGAAGAGAUCAUUUGUUUAGUCGAAUCAGCUGAGCCAACUGAUCAUGGCGGUCCCUCUCCUGGUGACCAGUGGUGGUCAACGUGAUCGUCUUGAUGCAAGAGGUUGUUCCUCGUGGUUUUUGGAGGAUCGAUUAAACUGCCGUCUACAUAUGACAGUGAGUAGUGAAUUGGUUCAAUGGGCGGUCUACUUUUCUAUCACUAUUGUCACUAUAGUCACCUGCAAUUGUCAAAGGAUCAACGGGUACGAGUGCUCAUUUCGCUAUUCGAUCUGAGGGACUGUUUAAUGUAAUCGGCUUAGGCUGUGGUUGUGCUGAUUGCGUAUUCAAAUGAACCAACAUUCUGACGAACUUAGUAUGUGAUAAUUAUGCAGAAAGAGGUGCCACGCUGUAGGCACCUGCUUAGGCAAUCAAAUUAACGAUACUUGAAGUUAUUCGUUCGAUAUUGUGGAUUUUAUAAUUAUAAAUUCGUUUGAAGGCUGUUUUAUUUUCCCAAGAAACCUGGUAGCUUGCGGUAAUAAUUUUAAUUGGUACAAAUAUAUAUCAAACGUGCAACUAUUAAACAUGUUCGAUUUAUUGAAUAUACUUCUGCAAACUAAAGGAAACUAGAGGUUUAAACUCACAGAUAGUAACACGCGUAAGAAAACAUUCAGAAUCAAGCGUCCAACAACAUAUUUCAAGGUCAGUGAAAUCAAUGGUAACUUUUCUUUUACAAAUUCGCACAAAAAUAUAAAUAGCAAUCAUUAGAUAUUUAUUCGUUUAAACUCCAGGUUAUCUCAAUAAGCAACCAUUACAACUGUCUUAUAUAGCGUUUCAUAUGAAAACAGUACAAUAGUCCGCAAUGAUCAGUCUCGUUCCUAACGAGUCUUCUAUCUCGAGGAAAGUCGAAAGUCUUCGAGACAUCCUCCGCGUGAAACCUAGCCUCGGAUAUUCUUAUCGGGAGAAACUAUUGGUACAACCAAUUGGUACGCGGGCUAAAACGCGUUAGGCGUUGUUAGCGGGAACUACAAUACCCAUUGGCGUAGUGUUUCAGGUGGCCAAAUGCCCGUAACAUCAUCCCCUUUCGAUCAUAUAAUUCUGUAAUUGUUCCCACGGAAGCCGGCUAAGCGGUAAUCUCCGCGUUAUUUACCCAGAAACAAAUUAUCGAGAAGAGUGUCUGUCAAAAUCUCGGAUAAAACGAUUCGCCGCCGCUCGUGUUCUCGAAAUACAGAAUAAUGGCAACAAACCCAUUGUCCGCGAUAUGCCUUCCGCGCGAAUGUUAUGGUCUUUGUUCGAACGACGAAAAAAAAGCCGAUUGAUUCGACACAAUAGCCUUGGGUCACGUGAUAAGUCGUUGUUCAUCGAUAAAUGUUAGCCCUCGGCGGUAGAUAAUGUCGUUAGCAAUAGCUAUCUCACCUAUGAGACAACAGUGUUGGCUAACUAUAGAGAAAGUACCGACGAGAUUCUUAAUAUAAUCAAACAGAAAGCAUACGUUAAAUUGUAACAAGAUAAAUAGAAAUGAAAACAGAACGUUUUACAUUUUUACGUAGUUAAGUGAAAGCGUAAAAUUGUUUUUCGUCCGUUAAGGGUUGAACAGCGGAAGAGCCAUAGCGAAGCGAAGCAAGCGACAAAUUCGAAGUAGUUUGUCAACUGUGGUACCAAAACUUUUAUAGGUGGUACGCUGUGUUCGAAAUUAAUCAUUUUUCGCUGCGUUUUAUACGAUUAUAACAUUCGCUGUAAUUGGGGACGUUAAUCUUGAUAACGACUCAUCGAAAAUCUACUCGCGUUCUAACAAAUUUGGGAGGAAGAGAGAACAUCGAAAUCACAUCGCUAUUAACGAAAGCAUACUCCGACGGUUCACUAUUAAAAUGUUCUGCGUCCGUGUUACGGAUCACUAGUCCCCGACCGGUGAUUUUAUCGUACAAUUCCAUUGUUCUUUUAUCGACCGAACUAGUUUUCGGCCUCGUUUCAUCUCGCGGAAAAAUGUUUACUGUUCCCAUUUUCUGUAUUUCUUUUUUCUCGUGGUAGAACUUAACGAACAAGUUGUUUGAAAGUUUAACGAAGGCAGAAAUGAAAAAUAAGGGAACCAGAAUCCCACGAGUCUCUUGCGAUUAAUAGUUAACGAAGUACAUAGGUUUAUCUACAACCUUGUUCACCGAUUUCUCUAGAUACCACCCUCGAAAGUACUUCAGCAGCUAAUUUUAAAUAAUAAAUUUAAGAGAUCUGUUUAAUUGAAAAAUAUUGCAUACAAUUCCUAGCCUCCAGGAAAAUUAAGUAAUCUUUAGUACUUUAUCCGAACGAUCACAAGAC